rnacentral:rRNA from 1 species
UACGGGGCUUAAUGUCUUGUAAUUGGAAUGAUGGGAAUUUAAACCUCUUCCAGAGUAUCAAUUGGAGGGCAAGUCUGGUGCCAGCAGCCGCGGUAAUUCCAGCUCCAAUAGCGUAUAUUAAAAUUGUUGCAGUUAAAAAGCUCGUAGUUGAAUUUCUGCUGCAUUGCAUUUGCUCCUUGACGAGUGUCUGUAUUGCGGCUUAUUUCGGAUUAUGCUUGCAUUUUCCGGAUGUUUACUUUGAGAAAAUUAGAGUGCUCAAAGCAGGCUUUUGCCUUGAAUAGUUUAGCAUGGAAUAAUAAAGUAGGACUUUGGUUCUAUUUUGUUGGUUUUAGGUACCAAAGUAAUGGUUAAUAGGAACAGUUGGGGGCAUUCGUAUUUA